AUUGAACGCUGGCGGCAUGCCUUACACAUGCAAGUCGAACGGCAGCACGGGAGCAAUCCUGGUGGCGAGUGGCGAACGGGUGGGUAAUAUAUCGGAACGUGCCCAGUAGUGGGGGAUAACUGCUCGAAAGAGCAGCUAAUACCGCAUACGACCUGAGGGAGAAAGGGGGGGAUCGCAAGACCUCUCGCUAUUGGAGCGGCCGAUAUCAGAUUAGCUAGUUGGUGGGGUAAAGGCCUACCAAGGCAACGAUCUGUAGUUGGUCUGAGAGGACGACCAGCCACACUGGGACUGAGACACGGCCCAGACUCCUACGGGAGGCAGCAGUGGGGAAGUUUGGACAAUGGGCGCAAGCCUGAUCCAGCAAUGCCGCGUGCAGGAAGAAGGCCUUCGGGUUGUAAACUGCUUUUGUCAGGGAAGAAAUCCUCUAGGUUAAUACCCUUGGGGGGAUGACGGUACCUGAAGAAUAAGCACCGGCUAACUACGUGCCAGCCGCCGCGGUAACAC
rnacentral:rRNA from 1 species